UGCCCGAGGAGCCCCCCGGGCUGGGGGCGGCCGGCGGAGCUCGGCCUCGGUACAUACCCCGGGCGGGGGGAAAAGCCACCAACAAAAAAACCCAACAACAGAAAGCACACCAAACCCAUCGGGGCUGGAGAAGGGGUGUUCCUCCGUGUUCAAGGAGCUGAGGCGGGGUUGGGUGACACGAAGUGUUGGGGACAGCGCUUGGCACCGGCGGGUCCUGCGGGGCUCUCCCGGAGCGCCUUAUAUGGCGGGGGCGGGGGGCCCGGCUGCAGGCUGAGCCCUGCCGGGGCAGCGGGUGCGGGAACCCGCGGGGUGCAGGCUCCGUGUCCUUCUGGGGACACACGGAGCGGAGACGGGGAUCUCCGAGGAGACCCCAUCCCGCCGGAAGGGAGGACCAUAGCAACCUUCCCGGCCACGAAAGGUGACGCGGCUGUGAAGGGACUCGUUUGCCUCUCUGGGGGAACAGGGGACCCUCGUGAAACAGGAGACGAACAAACAAAGCCCAUCUCACUGCCCCCACGCCAUCCCCCGCCUCCCGGGAGCCUGAGCAAGGAGAAGCUGAUUAAUUCUCCCGGGUCGCCCCGGCAAUCCCGGGGCCGCUCCGCUUUGCCGCCGUCCUGCAAACCCUGCUCGGCUGCAGCCCAGGAGGAGGAGGAGGAGGAAGAGGAGGAGGAAGGGCAGCGCCCAGGCAGCAUUAGUCACAAGCACCGCCGUGACAGUGCUCCUGUCUGAGGCUGCAGGAAUAGAGCCAACAGCGAGAUCACCGGGCGCUGACUUUUCUUGGGGCGUUUGCAGAAAUGUACAAAUACGGGGCCUGCCGGUUUCCAUAAACAACUUUCAGGACACAGUCAAUCAAUCACGCUGGCAAGCAAGCAGACCAGGAGCCUAGGAUAUAUACAAGGCAUAAAUAUAUGUGUAUAAACCCUGUCAAUUCUGGAGUAGUUACAAUUUUUUUUUCUAUAAGCCUAAGGGAAACCAUAUCUAGAAAGAUUCUGACAAGUCAGGAAAUCACAGUGGAAAAGUAGAAGGUAUUGUUAGAAAGUUAUGGUACAUUGUGUGUUUUAAUACCAGCAACAGAAAUAUUGGGAAACAGAAAGGAAAAAGUGUCUAAGCAAGUCAAAGAUUUAUAAAAACCAUAAAACAUUAUGCUUACAGUCAGAGAGACAAUUUCAAAAAUAUGUGGCUGAAAACAUGAAACCUGACCACUUUAAAAUAAAAUGCAAUAGAUAUAUUUGUAAAGGACA
rnacentral:lncRNA from 1 species